rnacentral:rRNA from 1 species
AGCAGUAGCCACGGUAAUACGAAGGGUGCAAGCGUUAAUCGGAAUUACUGGGCGUAAAGCGUGCGUAGGCGGUUUGUUAAGUCUGUUGUGAAAUCCCCGGGCUCAACCUGGGAAUGGCAAUGGAUACUGGCAAGCUAGAGUGUGUCAGAGGAUGGUGGAAUUCCCGGUGUAGCGGUGAAAUGCGUAGAGAUCGGGAGGAACAUCAGUGGCGAAGGCGGCCAUCUGGGACAACACUGACGCUGAGGCACGAAAGCGUGGGGAGCAAACAGGAUUAGAUACCCCAGUAGUCCCUGUCUCUUAUAC